rnacentral:rRNA from 1 species
CCCAGUGUGAUUUGUCACACUAUCAUUACGUGAAUACAUAGCGUAAUGAAGCGAACCGGGGGAACUGAAACAUCUAAGUACCCCGAGGAAAAGAAAUCAACCGAGAUUCCCCCAGUAGCGGCGAGCGAACGGGGAGGAGCCCAGAGCCUGAAUCAGCAUGUGUGUUAGUGGAAGCGUCUGGAAAGGCGCGCGAUACAGGGUGACAGCCCCGUACACAAAAGCGCAUGUGUUGUGAGCUCGAUGAGUAGGGCGGGACACGUGGUAUCCUGUCUGAAUAUGGGGGGACCAUCCUCCAAGGCUAAAUACUCCUGACUGACCGAUAGUGAACCAGUACCGUGAGGGAAAGGCGAAAAGAACCCCGGCGAGGGGAGUGAAAAAGAACCUGAAACCGUGUACGUACAAGCAGUGGGAGCACCCUUUGGGGUGUGACUGCGUACCUUUUGUAUAAUGGGUCAGCGACUUAUAUUCUGUAGCAAGGUUAACCGUAUAGGGGAGCCGGAGGGAAACCGAGUCUUAACCGGGCGUUAAGUUGCAGGGUAUAGACCCGAAACCCGGUGAUCUAGCCAUGGGCAGGUUGAAGGUUGGGUAACACUAACUGGAGGACCGAACCGACUAAUGUUGAAAAAUUAGCGGAUGACCUGUGGCUGGGGGUGAAAGGCCAAUCAAACCGGGAGAUAGCUGGUUCUCCCCGAAAGCU